GCUAGAGUGCAGUGGUGCAAUCUUAGCUCAGUGCAACCUCCACCUCCCUGGUUCAAGCGAUUCUCCUGCCUCAGCCUCCCAAGUAGCUGGGAUUACAGGCAUGUGCCACCAUGCCUGGCUAAUUUUGUAUUUUUAGUAGAGACAGGGUUUCUUCAUGUUGGUCAGGCUGGUCUUGAACUCCUGAUCUCAGGUGAUCUGCCUGCCUUGGCCUCCCAAAGUGCUGGGAUUACAGGUGUGAGCCACCCCGCCUGGCCAAAGUUGUAAUAACGUUUUAAACAUUCUUGUCUGCCAAUUCUAGCAUCUAUGUCAGUUCUGAGUCAGUUUUGAUUGAUCUUUCUUCUUACCACGGGUCAUGUUUUCAUGCUUCCUUGCAUGCGUAGACUGUUUUGAUUGGAUGUCAGACAUUGACAUUUUAUUUAUCGAUUCAUUUUUUGAGAUGGAGUCUUGCUCUGUGGCCCAGGCUGGAGUGUAGUGGCGCAAUCUCAGCUCACUGCAGCCUCCAUCUCCCAGGUUCAAGUGAUUCUCUGCCUCAGCCUCCUGAAUAGCUGGGAUUACAGGUGUGUGCCACCAGGCCUGGCUAACUUUUGUAUUUUUAGUAGAGAUGGGGUUUCACCACAUUGGCCAGGCUGGUCUCGAACUCCUGGCCUCAAGUGAUCCGCCCACCUUGGCCUCCCAAAAUGCUGGGAUUACAGGCGUGAGCCACCGCGCCUGGCCGACAUUGACAUUUUAUGUUGUUGGUUGCUAGAUUUUUGCUGUUGUUGUGAUCAUUUCUAACGUAUUCUUGAGCUUUGUUCGGGGAUGCAGUUAAGUUCCUUGGGAACAUUUUGAUCUAUUCAGAGCUUGCUUUUAAAAAUUUCAAAUCAGUGUUUGGUCUAGGGUUAAUUAUUUCCAUGACGGAGGCAAGACCCUUCUGAGUAGUUUACCCAAUGCCAUGUGAAUUCUAAGAUUUUCCCGUCUGGCUGGUAGGAGCAGUAACAACCCCCACCCUGUGUGAACAUGGGGAGCUGCUUCCUCCAAUCUUUUUGGGUGCUUCUUUGCCCAGCCUUGAGUCAUUUCCUUGCCUACAUGCACUAAUUGUUGCUUUGCUGAGUGCCUGGAGGGGGCACGUCUCCAGAGCUCUCUGUGCAGCUCUCUCCUGUUAUGUCCUGUGAACCUUCCUGCCUUGGCUUCCCUGGACUCGGCUCUGUCUCCUCCACUCGGGGAAUCCAUUGGUCUCAACCUGGGUUCCCCAUCCCUGCACUGCAGCCUGGAAACUCACCCGAUGGGAGAAGCUGGGGGAAUCUUAGGGCUCACCUUGCUAGUUUUCCUCCUCUCAGGAAUAUCUGUCCUUUGCUGCCUGGUGUCUCAUGGCCUGAAAACCAUUGCUUCAUACUUUUUUUUUGUUGUUGUUAUUUUGAUUGUUUGGUUGGGAGGGUACAUCCAAUCUCUGUUACUCCACUUGGCCAGAAUGAUUAGUCUCUACCUAAUCAUUUAAUCAGGGUGAAAAUGUCAAGAAAAUGACACUAACAUUUACUGAGCACUCCCAACAUGCCAGAUGCAGUGCUAAGAACUUCAUUUUUCUUAUCUGUAGAAUCCUCACAUUGAUUUGCAUAAGCUGGUGAUAUUAUGACACCAUUUUCUACGUGAGGUCCCUGAGUUUUGCAGAGGCCAUGGAGCUAGUUAGUGGUAUAAUCGCCACUCAAGCCCUGGUCAGUGGGGCUCUUAGCCACACUGCCCUAAUGGUGGGCAGGUGUCAUGCUGCAACAGAAGCUCCAGGAUGCUCUUUUCAGGGGCCGUUCCAGGACACCGAGGGCUGUCUUUGAAUGGAAUUUGACAGUAUUUUCUGUGGGUCUUCAAAAACAGAGGUGGCCCUUCUCGAGACGCUUACAGUAAACGUCUGGUGAUAACCUUAAUUUAAUCAUUAACUUUUUACUUCCUUAUCCCAUCGUGUGGUCUUCCAUUGACUUGAAUUUCUCCCAGGGUUGGACAUACGAAGGGGCCAUAGAGGUCUGGCCACAGUGAACACCCUCUAACUUUACAUGUGGGAGCACUUCUCCGGAGUUAGUAGCAGAAGGUCCAAUGUGAAAUAGCUUAACCACAGAGAUCUAUUAUGUGAGCACAGGUUCUGAGGCAAGGUGGGCUGCAGGCACCAUGUGAUCAGGGCUGCAUCUCCCUUCCCUUGACUCUACCUCCCCUUGUCCUGAGGCAGCCUCCCUCACGGCUUUAGGAUUGGCCGCCUGCCUGCUGCAAUGAGGGGAGCUUGCUCAUUCACACCUGGUGGGAGGACAGGUGGAGUGAAAGUCCUUCUCACCUCUCUGAUUGGCCAGCCUAGGGCAUGUGCCUGCUCCUGGACCUAUUAGAGUCACCAGAGGGAGUCUGUGUGCUGAUUGGCUGAAACAAUCCCUGGCAAGGAGGAUGACAUAAUGUGAUUGGCUAAUUGGGAUCCGUCCAGAAUGAGAGAUGCGCUCAGCCUCCCAAGUCCAUGGGCAGUGCAGAGAAGGGGCCAAUCCUUUCGGUUUGGGUGCCAAACCCAAAACUGGUUCCUAUAGGGAAGGAGGCAGUGGAGAAGGCAAACGGAAUGGCUGGCAAAGCUGUCAACCAGGUAGAGGUGGAUGGUGCAGCAGGUGGAGAGCCAGGCCUUGUCCCGGGUCGUCCAGCACCUCACUGUGGGCAAUGGGCAGCUCCCAGCCCAGGUUCCCUUCCUGCUCCUGCAGACUGGGAGGACUGCAGGACUAGCUGCACAAGACAACUGGCAUUUCUCGGGUUCACGCUUGGUGCUGGCUCAGCAUGAUGUGAAGGCUGCGUGUGCACCGUCCCAUCCCGGAGCCUCCCGACUUCCCUUGGAGAGGGGAUCAUGAUCACUUCAGUUUAGGGAUAAGGAAACAGGUGUAGAGAGGUUAAGAAACUUGCUCCAAGUCAAACGGCUGGUCAGCAACAGAGCUGGUGCUUAUGCCUGUGUCCCUGGGACAGGCCGUGUCCCUGGCAGCCCUAAACCAGGACACCCACCUGGCUGGGAUAGGAAGGGCAGCACCACUGUCUGGGGUCUCCUCCAUCCCCUCCCUUAGGACCUGCCUAGAGUGGCUGACUGAGAAAUCCUCAGGAGGAUGCGACGAUGACUGAUGCCUUCAAGCUCCCACUGGGCACACACAGGCAAUUCCUCCGUGAAAAGAGAUGAAUUCACAAAGGAGAAAGUGUAUAAAAUAUUAAGAAGACAUUAAGCUGAGAACACGUGAACCCCUGGGCAGCGAAUGCAGGAGGUGGUGGCUGUGCCUCUGGAUGCUGCAGCUGGGCUGGAGCCCUCUCCCUGCCACCAUGGAAACAUCAAUAUCAGAAACAACAGUCCUGGUUAGCAGCAUGCUCAUGCCAUGUGCCUGUCAGUUCUGCAAGCAUUUGUUGGAUGUGAAGGUUGAUGUGAUGACCACGCUGCCCACAACAGGUCAGCACAUUCCCAGGACAGUCCUGAAAGGGAAAAGGGUGCAGACAGCUGAGGCUCCUCACUUCCCGCUCCAAAGCUCAGAACCUCCCUUCCCUCCUGGAUCCAACAGAAGCAGCGGCCGCUGCUGCCUGUGCUCUCAAACUUGUCACCCAUGGAUGUCGGGAAAAAUGCACAUAAAAGAGGAAGUGGGACCUCACUUUGCCAAGUCACCCUGAGGCCCCACUUGAUGCCAGGACGCAAUGAGAGAGAAGCUUAAACAGGAAUUCUGCUAACGUCUUUAUUUCUUCCCUUUGAAGAACCCUGGAAAGCUCUCUGUAAAUAUUUGCGAAGUUAAUUUCACAACCCACAAAUGAAUACAUGAAUGAAUGAGUGAGUGAGUGUCAAACAGCGCUGUCCCGACACCUGCCCUGUGUGUUCAAUGACUAGAUGUGACUUCCUCUAGGGCCCUGAGGCAGCCAUGGCCUCAAGUCACUCCU